CGGGGGAUCGCAAGACCUCGCGCGAUUGGAGCGGCCGAUAUCAGAUUAGGUAGUUGGUGAGGUAAAGGCUCACCAAGCCGACGAUCUGUAGCUGGUCUGAGAGGACGACCAGCCACACUGGGACUGAGACACGGCCCAGACUCCUACGGGAGGCAGCAGUGGGGAAUUUUGGACAAUGGGCGCAAGCCUGAUCCAGCAAUGCCGCGUGCAGGAUGAAGGCCUUCGGGUUGUAAACUGCUUUUGUACGGAACGAAACGGUGAGCUCUAAUACAGUUUUGCUAAUGACGGUACCGUAAGAAUAAGCACCGGCUAACUACGUG
rnacentral:rRNA from 1 species